UUAGCAAGCUUAUAUGUGGGACUGACCAACUUUGCAGGUGCACUAUGUGCUUUAUACUUGAUGGAUAAGCAGGGGAGGCAGAGACUUCUAAUUGGAAGCUACGCUGGAAUGGCUUUAUCAAUGUUUCUGAUUGUCUAUGCUAUCAGCUUUAUCAA